rnacentral:lncRNA from 1 species
GUCUUAUGCUCACGUUAUUGGCAGGCUGCAGCUCACCUCAGGGCACUGCGGGUGCCUCACAGGGACACUGUGCCCAAACGUGAUGUAAAAAGCCAACAGAAACAGCCCCACAGGUGCCAAGCUCAGAGGAGAGGGAGUGCUGUGGGUGCUGCAGCUGGUAUUGAUUGCCCUGCGGGCACCGUGCCAGAGUGUGUGGGCAUGAGAGGAGGUCCUGCCCUCCUGUGCCCCUUGGGUGGUGGUUGGAGGUCGAGUUGUUGAGGGUGAAGCAGCGGAGUCCAGCCUGGCAAGCAGGUAGGAGUGAGAUGAGCGUUGGUUUGGUGUUUUUUGCCUUGCUUUUUCACCAUCUGAAUCUGUUUUAAUUGAUUUAGGGAAAAGUAAUACCUUGCCGAGUCCAUUUGGCCUGUGGUGGUAACUGAUGGGGAAUCUCCCUGUCCUUAUCCUGACCCCUGAGCUGUUCGGGACUGUAGAAGGGAGGUCUGAGCGUGGCUGUGGGGCUGCAGCCUGCGUCAGCCUGCGCACCUCUCCUGGUGCUGCUCUCACCCAUCCCUCACACCAUGUCCCUGGUUCUUUUCAUCACAAUCUGUUGUUCCGUCACAAACGUGGUCUGCUCAGACCUCAGGUUCAGCAGGACCUCACCAGUUCCAUUCCUGUCAGUCAGCUAUGAGUGGCAGCUCUUACUGCCUGGGAACAAACUCAUGUGGUCCAGUCAGGAGGAUGACAGCUCUGCACCACCGGGAGUUCCUCUGGGGCCCAGUCCGAAGCACCGGUCUGGCAGCUACGACGUACCAAUGCUUCCUGCUCCCUAUUGGUGUCACUUGGAGAUUUGACUGUCAGCAUCACAAAAACAGCACCAGGAAAAGCCACAGGAUACUGCAUAAAGCCCAGAACGACUGAAAGUUGGAGUGCUUCUUUUCAGGAGGUACAUUUUUCACCGGUUUAUCAGCCUCUGCCUUCAUGGAUUACUGGGGAUAUAAGGACAUGUUCAGCUCCCAUCAUCCUUCUCCGUUUAGCUGACAUAAUUUACAGUUGGAUGCACCAUUGAGGGGAUGAAAAUGCUCCUGUUGUUAAACGUCUCAGACUGGAGAGCAGCCAAACAGUGGAGGAAAUGCAGGAGAGAGCAUCACCCCGAUAAGGGCCGGCCGGACGAGCACUGUGCUAUCAGGGACAAAUAUUCAGGAUAAAUUACCUCCAUCCUUUGGUGCCUCCAGCAAGCUGCCAAA